AGCAGCCGCGGUAAUUCCAGCUCCAAUAGCGUAUAUUAAAGUUGUUGCAGUUAAAAAGCUCGUAGUUGAAUUUCGGGGUUAGUAGGUUGGUCAUGCCUCUGGUAUGUACUGGUCUCACUGAUUCCUCCUUCCUGAUGAGCCGUAAUGCCAUUAAUUUGGUGUUGCGGGGAAUUUGGACUGUUACUUUGAAAAAAUUAGAGUGUUUAAAGCAAGCUAACGCUUGAAUACAUUAGCAUGGAAUAAUGAAAUAGGACGUUCGAUCCUAUUUUGUUGGUUUCUAGGAUUGACGUAAUGAUUAAUAGGGAUAGUUGGGGGCAUUAGUAUUCAAUUGUCAGAGGUGAAAUUCUUGGAUUUAUUGAAGACUAACUACUGCGAAAGCAUUUGCCAAGGAUGUUUUCAUUAAUCAAGAACGAAAGUUAGGGGAUCGAAGACGAUCAGAUACCGUCGUAGUCUUAACCAUAAACUAUGCCGACUAGGGAUCGGAUGAUGUUAAUUUUAUAAUGACUCAUUCGGCGCCUUA
rnacentral:rRNA from 1 species